rnacentral:lncRNA from 1 species
GAUAUUCCUUUAAAUUUAAUUCGUUCGUUUUGUACUCGUUUAGAAAUUUGGUAUUGCCUCUUGGGAUUAUUCUUUGUUGUCAAAAUUAUUGAGAUAGUUUCGUUUUGGCGUUGAUAUUUGAAUUCGUAUUUGUACUCUUUGAACUAGUUAAUCGUGUCAAUAUGUUUUGGAGACUUUAUUCGUUUGUACCAUUGUUCGUAUAUUUUCGUUCACACUCGGAGUUGUUUUGAUCAUUGAUAUCUUGUAAU